rnacentral:rRNA from 1 species
UAACACAUGCAAGUACGAGGGGUAACAGGAAAGUCUUGCUUUCGCUGACGACCGGCGCACGGGUGCGUAACGCGUAUGCAACCUACCUUACACUGGAGAAUAGCCCUUGGAAACGAGGAUUAAUGCUCCAUGGUAUCAUUUCUUCGCAUGUUGAAAUGAUUAAAGAAUUUCGGUGUAAGAUGGGCAUGCGUCCCAUUAGCUAGUUGGUGAGGUAACGGCUCACCAAGGCGACGAUGGGUAGGGGGCCUGAGAGGGUGGUCCCCCACACUGGUACUGAGACACGGACCAGACUCCUACGGGAGGCAGCAGUGAGGAAUAUUGGUCAAUGGAGGCAACUCUGAACCAGCCAUGCCGCGUGAAGGAUGACGGCCCUAUGGGUUGUAAACUUCUUUUGAAUAGGAAGAAACUUAUCUACGUGUAGAUAACUGACGGUACUAUUAGAAUAAGGAUCGGCUAACUCCGUGCCAGCAGCCGCGGUAAUACGGAGGAUCCAAGCGUUAUCCGGAUUCAUUGGGUUUAAAGGGUCCGUAGGCGGGUCUUUAAGUCAGUGGUGAAAGCC